rnacentral:rRNA from 1 species
CCGAACCGACUAAUGUUGAAAAAUUAGCGGAUGACCUGUGGCUGGGGGUGAAAGGCCAAUCAAACCGGGAGAUAGCUGGUUCUCCCCGAAAGCUAUUUAGGUAGCGCCUCGUGAAUUCAUCUCCGGGGGUAGAGCACUGUUUCGGCUAGGGGGCCAUCCCGGCUUACCAACCCGAUGCAAACUGCGAAUACCGGAGAAUGUUAUCACGGGAGACACACGGCGGGUGCUAACGUCCGUCGUGAAGAGGGAAACAACCCAGACCGCCAGCUAAGGUCCCAAAGUCAUGGUUAAGUGGGAAACGAUGUGGGAAGGCCCAGACAGCCAGGAUGUUGGCUUAGAAGCAGCCAUCAUUUAAAGAAAGCGUAAUAGCUCACUGGUCGAGUCGGCCUGCGCGGAAGAUGUAACGGGGCUAAACCAUGCACCGAAGCUGCGGCAGCGACACUGUGUGUUGUUGGGUAGGGGAGCGUUCUGUAAGCCUGUGAAGGUGUGUCGUGAGGCAUGCUGGAGGUAUCAGAAGUGCGAAUGCUGACAUAAGUAACGAUAAAGCGGGUGAAAAGCCCGCUCGCCGGAAGACCAAGGGUUCCUGUCCAACGUUAAUCGGGGCAGGGUGAGUCGACCCCUAAGGCGAGGCCGAAAGGCGUAGUCGAUGGGAAACGGGUUAAUAUUCCCGUACUUGGUGUUACUGCGAAGGGGGGACGGAGAAGGCUAUGUUGGCCGGGCGACGGUUGUCCCGGUUUAAGCGUGUAGGUGUGUGUUCCAGGUAAAUCCGGUUCACUUUAACACUGAGGCGUGACGACGAGGCACUACGGUGCUGAAGCAACAAAUGCCCUGCUUCCAGGAAAAGCCUCUAAGCAUCAGGUAACAUCAAAUCGUACCCCAAACCGACACAGGUGGUCAGGUAGAGAAUACCAAGGCGCUUGAGAGAACUCGGGUGAAGGAACUAGGCAAAAUGGUGCCGUAACUUCGGGAGAAGGCACGCUGACACGUAGGUGAAGUGAUUUACUCAUGGAGCUGAAGUCAGUCGAAGAUACCAGCUGGCUGCAACUGUUUAUUAAAAACACAGCACUGUGCAAACACGAAAGUGGACGUAUACGGUGUGACGCCUGCCCGGUGCCGGAAGGUUAAUUGAUGGGGUCAGCGCAAGCGAAGCUCCUGAUCGAAGCCCCGGUAAACGGCGGCCGUAACUAUAACGGUCCUAAGGUAGCGAAAUUCCUUGUCGGGUAAGUUCCGACCUGCACGAAUGGCGUAAUGAUGGCCAGGCUGUCUCCACCCGAGACUCAGUGAAAUUGAACUCGCUGUGAAGAUGCAGUGUACCCGCGGCAAGACGGAAAGACCCCGUGAACCUUUACUAUAGCUUGACACUGAACAUUGAGCCUUGAUGUGUAGGAUAGGUGGGAGGCUUUGAAGUGUGGACGCCAGUCUGCAUGGAGCCGACCUUGAAAUACCACCCUUUAAUGUUUGAUGUUCUAACGUGGACCCGUUACCCGGGUUGCGGACAGUGUCUGGUGGGUAGUUUGACUGGGGCGGUCUCCUCCUAAAGAGUAACGGAGGAGCACGAAGGUUGGCUAAUCCUGGUCGGACAUCAGGAGGUUAGUGCAAUGGCAUAAGCCAGCUUGACUGCGAGCGUGACGGCGCGAGCAGGUGCGAAAGCAGGUCAUAGUGAUCCGGUGGUUCUGAAUGGAAGGGCCAUCGCUCAACGGAUAAAAGGUACUCCGGGGAUAACAGGCUGAUACCGCCCAAGAGUUCAUAUCGACGGCGGUGUUUGGCACCUCGAUGUCGGCUCAUCACAUCCUGGGGCUGAAGUAGGUCCCAAGGGUAUGGCUGUUCGCCAUUUAAAGUGGUACGCGAGCUGGGUUUAGAACGUCGUGAGACAGUUCGGUCCCUAUCUGCCGUGGGCGCUGGAGAACUGAGGGGGGCUGCUCCUAGUACGAGAGGACCGGAGUGGACGCAUCACUGGUGUUCGGGUUGUCAUGCCAAUGGCACUGCCCGGUAGCUAAAUGCGGAAGAGAUAAGUGCUGAAAGCAUCUAAGCACGAAACUUGCCCCGAGAUGAGUUCUCCCUGAGACUUAAAGUCUCCUGAAGGAACGUUGAAGACGACGA